UACGGAGGGGGUUAGCGUUGUUCGGAAUUACUGGGCGUAAAGGGCGCGCAGGCGUCGCUCAAGUCAGGCGUGAAAGCCCCGGGCUCAACCUGGGAAUAGCGCUUGAGACUGAGCGACUUGAGUUCGGGAGAGGAGAGCGGAAUUCCCAGUGUAGAGGUGAAAUUCGUAGAUAUUCGCAAGAACACCAGUGGCGAAGGCGGCUCACUGGCCCGAUACUGACGCUGAGGCACGAAAGCGUGGGGAGCA
rnacentral:rRNA from 1 species